AGAAAGGUUGGCCAAUGGUGGUGAAAAUGAUGAGUUUGAUGACGUACUGACUGCAGAAGAAAAAAGGCAAUUGGAUUCUGCCCUUCGAAUGGGAAACUCUGAGGGUCUGGGUGAGGAUGAGGAACAUGUAACCUUUGAAAGCCAAGAAAAUGGUUCAGUAGGCUCAUAUGAAAACAGUGACCCAAAUGGUGCUACUAAGGAGA
rnacentral:misc_RNA from 1 species